GCUGAUAUGGCUCAGUUGGUAGAGCGCACCCUUGGUAAGGGUGAGGUCCCCAGUUCUACUCUGGGUAUCAGCACCA
rnacentral:tRNA from 1 species